ensembl:lncRNA
AUGUUGCCAAUAUCCACUUCGAGACAUGUCUAUCGGGAUUCUUCUGUGUGGGAGGAAAGUCGACUGUAUCAUAACAGCUUUAAGUCUAUACAUUUUAAAGAUAUCCUGAGAAGAGGAGAACCUGACAAGCGCCCGGUGACUCGACAUGCACGGACAAAUGAACAACGAUGCAGAAAAAAAAAAAAAAAACUUUUACACUUCAAGACAGGAUGGAAAGCUUCAGUUGUGCACCUGCUAUUGUGGAAUGCCCUGGAGACGAUGACAGCCAGCAUUAUCCUGGUCCAAAUGUUUUGCAAGCACUGCAUGGUGGGCAUCAUCUGAUGUUAUCUUAUGUGAAUGUUUGGAGGAGCACAGUAGGAAAGGAUCAGUUUCUUCACAGUUUUAUUAAGAUUAGUUAACAUCUUUAGUGGCUUUUCAAUUAUGACACCAUGUUGCAAUUACUCUGAAAUUGUUGGACUGAUAAAAAAAGGACUUUGUUGAUUCAUUUAAAUUAAUGUUUGACUUUGUAUCUUUUGGUGUUACGUAUAUUGUGAUGUUUUUUUCUUUGUAAGGUUCUGAGUUUUGAGAUUAGAUUAAAACCCUAGACGUGGCUGAAUGGUCAUAAUUUAGCAUGAUACAUUACAAAUGAACUUGCCUUAAUAUUCUCACAAAUGUUUCUCUGAUUUGACAUAAUUGUGACAGUGUUUAAAUGCGAUAACAGUCAUUUUUGAUGAGAGGAACACUUGAACGUGAAGGUAUAUUUGCACAAAGUAAUUACAAUGAAUAAAAGAGCUCGUUUGAUCUUUAUUGACA